GACAGAGGGUGCAAACGUUGUUCGGAUGUACUGGGCGUAAAGCGCGUGUAGGCGGCUUUGCAAGUCGGAUGUGAAAUCCCACGGCUCAACCGUGGAAGUGCAUCCGAAACUGCAUCGCUGGAGUCUCGGAGAGGAAGGUGGAAUGCUUGGUGUAGAGGUGAAAUUCGUAGAUAUCAAGCAGAACACCUGCGGCGAAGGCGGCCUUCUGGACGAUGACUGACGCUGAGACGCGAAAGCGUGGGGAGCAAACAGG
rnacentral:rRNA from 1 species